UACGUAGGGGGCAAGCGUUGUCCGGAAUCAUUGGGCGUAAAGCGCGUGUAGGCGGCCCGGUAAGUCCGCUGUGAAAGUCCAGGGCUCAACCCUGGAAUGCCGGUGGAUACUGUCGGGCUCGAGUCCGGAAGAGGCGAGUGGAAUUCCGGUGUAGCGGUGAAAUGCGCAGAUAUCAGGAGGAACACCGAUGGCGAAGGCAGCUCGCUGGGACGGUACUGACGCUGAGACGCGAAAGCGUGGGGAGCAAACAGG
rnacentral:rRNA from 1 species